CCAUUCACACACACAUUCACACAUAAUUAUGAUGAAGGUGACCUCCCAGCCCAUUGUUCCUUCAGUGGGCUGGUUUCAGUCAUUAAGCAAAUGUACGGUUUAUAAGAUCGUGGAAACCUGCAGUCAGCUGAGACUGAAGAAGUCACUUGGAUCAGUGAUGAAACGUUUCUCCCACAAAACGCUACGUCCAGAUGAACAGAAUCAACUUUUGGAGAGAACCAAAAAUUCCCACCAAGGGGGAAGGCGAGAUGUUAUAGGCAUAGGCUUUGGAGAUGACUUCAAAAAAUGAUGACCAGAAAGGAGCAAUUUUUGGACAGGACCAAAACAUAUGAAGGGAAGUAGCUGGAGUCUGUUUACAUCCAUCCACGAUGAGUCAAUGUUUGGAAAUAUUUUUGCUAGUUUAGCUUUUGAGAAAUGUAACCUGUGUAACACUUUGAAUUGUAUGAAGGAGUGUCUUAAACAUAUAGAAGACGAGUGGACCCUGGUAAGAGCCAUAUCCCACUCUUCGUCAGACAGCUGGGCACCCAAAUCAUUCUCCCACUGUUCUGGAAUGUAUGAAAUAGACAGGUUACAACUAUCCAUGAUAGGUGAGUAAAUAAACGAUAUUCUGCCUUUUUUCAUCUCAUUGACCCUUAAUAUAGAAUCCAAACAGGAAGGAUGGGGGAGAGUAGGAAAAUUAGCAACCUUUUUAUGUAUAAAAUUGGUUAUUAGUCAGACCAAAUUUCCUAGAUAGUUGUUCGAAGCUAGCAUACGUAUCAUUAAUAUACAAAUCCUCAAUACUGUGAAUGCCCCUGUCGUACCAAAUUUUGAAGCCAUUGUCCAUUGGCGAUGGUUGAAAAAGAUGGUUACGUAUUAUUGGAGAGUGAAUAGAAAUACUCUGAAUACCCAGAUGUUUUUUAAACUGAUGUACAAUGUGUAGAGAUUGAGUAACCAUUAUGUUAUCUUUAAUAUUAUUAACUAAAGGUGGUAGGGGUGCACAGAGUAAAGCUGGGAGAGAAUGCAGCCUGCUUGUGACCCUUUCAAUCUGUAGCCACGCAGGGAUCUGAUCAUUCCAGUCCUUUAGCCAUAGAGAGAUGGCAUUGAGAUUUGCCGCCCAAUAAUAUGUGCACAGGUUUGGCAGUGAGAGCCCACCUAUAUUUUUUGGUCUUUCCAUAAAUUCUUUUCUUAUACGAGGCGUUUUAUUAUUCCAUAAAGGAAGAAACCAUUCGAUUAAAUGACAUGAAAAAAGAUUUUGGUAACGCCUGUAAUAAAUAUAGAAUUUUUGGCACAAUAUUCAUCUUUACAGAAUUAGCUCUCCCAAUAAGAGAUAAUGGUAAAAUAGACCAUCUUUUAAUAUCUUGUUUGCACUGUUCCAAUAGAGGAGUGAGGUUAAUUUUAAACAGACUGUAAUAGGAUUUGGUGACUUCUACACCCAGAUAUGUAAAGGACUCGGUAGACAACUUAAAUGGCAGAUUGGGGUAUUGUCCUGCAUUAUUACUAAUGGGGAAGUAUUCACUUUUAGCUAAAUUUAGUUUGUAUCCAGAUAUGCUUGAAAUUCCUGUAAGACUCUGAGGAUUUCAGGGGUAGAUGUGAUUGGAUUUGUUACAUAUAACAACAAAUCAUCCGUAUACAGUGACACAAUGUGAGUUAUGCCACCACGUGAGAUACCUUGUAUACUAUUAUUGCUUCUAAGAGCUAUUGCAAGUGGCUCUAUAGCUAAAACAAAAAGUAAUGGACUCACUGGAUCCCCCUGCUUGGUCCCUCUGUGAAGAGGAAAAGGCUGAGAUACUGUUGGCAUAGACUGAAGCAGUCGAAUUAGUGUAAAUGAGCUUGAUACAACGAAUAAAGUUAGGACCAAAACCAAACCUCCAAAGUGUGUGAAAAAGAUAAUCCCACUCAAUCCGAUCAAACGCCUUUUCAGCGUCAAGUGAUAUUACUGCUUCAGGGGAUGGAGUAUCAGCCUCAGUAUAGAUGAUAUUAAACAGUCGUCUCAGGUUAAAAUAGGAUUGUCUACCCUGAACGAACCCAGUCUGGUCCCCCGAAAUAAUACGAGGAAGAAUUUUCUCAAGUCGGAGUGCACUUUGCCAUCACAGUUUGUUAAGCUGAUUGGUCUAUAGAAUGAGCAAUCUCAGGGGUCCUUAUUCUUCUUUAAUAAGAGUGUAAUAGAUGCCUGCUGAAGCGUAGGCGGAAGAAUGUUAUUCUCUAUUGCUUCUGUGUCAACCAAGAGAAGAAGAGGGGCAAGUUUGUCCAUAAAUUUCUUAUAAAAAUCAGUUGGAAACCCGUCCGGAUCGGGGGCUUUUCCACUCUGAAGGGACAUUAUUGCAUUUUUAAUUUCUUCCAGUGUCAGACUUUGUUCCAAUCGUUCUUUCGAGUCAGAGUCAAUUGUAGAAAUAUUCAGAUUGGAUGAAAAAAAAAAAGGCGUCAAACUUAUUUUGAGCUGAUGCUGAAUCUGAAGAAUAUAAUUUAGCAUAAAACUCUCUAAAAUAGUUGUUAAUAGCUCGAUGAUCCUCAGUUGAUGAGCCAUCUGAUGAGAUAAGUUGUGAAAUAACACGGGAUGCUGCUUUUUGGCAGAGCUGGCUAGCUAAUAAUUUGGACGGUUUAUCUCCCUCUUUGUACAAUCUACUACGGGAUUUAAAAAUGAGCUUCUCUGCUUGGGUGGUAGUUAAUAGAUCGAUUUCAGUUUGUAAGGCCACUCUCCACUUAAGCUGGGCAGACACUGUGCGAUUUUUUUCAGUUGCGUUAUUCAGCUCCUGCUCAAGUUGUACGAUUGAAUCGCAGGGGUUAGAAGUUCGUAGGUCACGAUGCACUGAUGCAACCUGAGUGCUCACACUGUGCAUACAUACACAACACGUCGUGUUCUUGUUUCCGGAAGAGGAACCCGGAAGUCAACCUCCAAUAAACAAUAUAAAGAAGAAGAAGAAGAAUCUGGAAGUGGGGAGACGGUAAUCUGAGAAUUUGAAAAUGCUCACCAAAGAGAAAUGCGCUGCCUUAGCAAUGUGUGCCAUUCUGUGUGCAGAAAGAUCUAAAAAGAAAAGCGAUUGGGUGUAUGGACAAGGAAAUGGCUGGGCAAAUGUGGGCAGUACGGUCUGUCAAUUCUACAACGAGAACUGGAGGUAGAUGAUAUGAGGGGUUUUCGGGACCUUCUCCGAAUGUCUGUGGAGGACUUUAACUGUGGAGGGUUAGUCCUGCUAUCAUCAAGAAGGAUACACACCUCAGGAAGCCCAUCAGCCCCAGGGAAAGGCUUUUGGUUACCCUACGAUUUUUGGCAACAGCCAAGUGUGUGGACAUGAAAAUUCUGUAAUGCUCCCUAUAAACUCCCUUAAACUAUAGAAUGCUGGGUAUGAGGCAAGGUCAUCUAUCUAUAUCACAUGAAGAAAUCAGUUCACCCAUGCAAGUACAUACAUAUUUUUGCUUUUCUACAUCAGUUACACUGGCCCUGUAACUGCAAGUCUAUCUAUCCACCUACACACUACGACUAUGUUCAUACUACAUAAGCUACUACUACUGCAUUCUAUUCUACAUCCAUCCAUGUCCACUAUCCCUUACAUUAACCAUCUAAAUCCACCUGACACUAUUUAAGACACUUUGUUCUAUGAGACAGGUGAAACCUUCAACUCAUUAAGUUUCCAGUGUAGGAUUGGAAGCACCACACUGAGCAGGAUUGUCAUGGAAACAUGCACAGCUCUUACCUGUGCACUGCAUGAAGAUUACUUGAAGACACCAUCAACUGAGUCUGAGUGGAAGGCCAUUGCCAGAGACUUUGCAAACAAGUGGGAGUUUCCACACUGCCUGGGGGCUAUAGAUGGGAAGCACAUCUUCAUCCAACCCCCUCCCAAGAGUGGCAGCAUGUAUUUUAACUACAAGUCCAGGUUUUCUAUCAUCCUUAUGGCUGUAGUUGAUGCCAAUUACAAGUUUGUGUAUGCAAGCAUAGGGACACAGGGUAGGGUGUCUGAUGUGGGAGUGUUUGCCCAUUCAGACCUGAAAGAAGCAAUGGACACAGGCACGCUGAACUUUCCCCCUGCUGAUACCCUGCCAGGCACUGAUGCUAUGAUGCCACACAUGCUAAUUGGAGAUGAUGCUUAUCCCCUCCGACCAGAUCUCAUGAAACCAUAUCCAUUUCGAAAUCUUAACACCAAUCAGAGAAUAUACAACUACCGUCUGUCCAGAGCCGUGUUGUGGAGAACACUUUCGGAAUUUUGGCAAAUCGCUUCAGAGUUUUCAGAACAACAAUUUGACUGGACCCA